GACGAACGCUGGCGGCGUGCUUAACACAUGCAAGUCGAACGGUAAGGCCCUUCGGGGUACACGAGUGGCGAACGGGUGAGUAACACGUGGGUGAUCUGCCCUGCACUUCGGGAUAAGCUUGGGAAACUGGGUCUAAUACCGGAUAGGACCACGGUCUGCAUGGAUUGUGGUGGAAAGCUUUUGCGGUGUGGGAUGGGCCCGCGGCCUAUCAGCUUGUUGGUGGGGUGAUGGCCUACCAAGGCGACGACGGGUAGCCGGCCUGAGAGGGUGUCCGGCCACACUGGGACUGAGAUACGGCCCAGACUCCUACGGGAGGCAGCAGUGGGGAAUAUUGCACAAUGGGCGCAAGCCUGAUGCAGCGACGCCGCGUGGGGGAUGACGGCCUUCGGGUUGUAAACCUCUUUCAGCAGGGACGAAGGGUGACUGACGGUACCUGUAGAAGAAGCACCGGCCAACUACGUG
rnacentral:rRNA from 1 species